UGGGGAAUAUUGGACAAUGGGCGCAAGCCUGAUCCAGCCAUGCCGCGUGAGUGAUGAUGGCCCUAGGGUUGUAAAGCUCUUUCACCGGUGAAGAUAAUGACGGUAACCGGAGAAGAAGCCCCGGCUAACUUCGUGCCAGCAGCCGCGGUAAUACGAAGGGGGCUAGCGUUGUUCGGAUUUACUGGGCGUAAAGCGCACGUAGGCGGACUUUUAAGUCAGGGGUGAAAUCCCGGGGCUCAACCCCGGAACUGCCUUUGAUACUGGAAGUCUUGAGUAUGGUAGAGGUGAGUGGAAUUCCGAGUGUAGAGGUGAAAUUCGUAGAUAUUCGGAGGAACACCAGUGGCGAAGGCGGCUCACUGGACCAUUACUGACGCUGAGGUGCGAAAGCGUGGGGAGCAAACAGG
rnacentral:rRNA from 1 species